rnacentral:rRNA from 1 species
UAGGGAAUCUUCGGCAAUGGACGAAAGUCUGACCGAGCAACGCCGCGUGAGUGAAGAAGGUUUUCGGAUCGUAAAACUCUGUUGUUAGAGAAGAACAAGGACGUUAGUAACUGAACGUCCCCUGACGGUAUCUAACCAGAAAGCCACGGCUAACUACGUGCCAGCAGCCGCGGUAAUACGUAGGUGGCAAGCGUUGUCCGGAUUGAUUGGGCGUAAAGCGAGCGCAGGCGGUUUCUUAAGUCUGAUGUGAAAGCCCCCGGCUCAACCGGGGAGGGUCAUUGGAAACUGGGAGACUUGAGGGCAGAAGAGGAGAGUGGAAUUCCAUGUGUAGCGGUGAAAUGCGUAGAUAUAUGGAGGAACACCAGUGGCGAAGGCGGCUCUCUGGUCUGUAACUGACGCUGAGGCACGAAAGCGUGGGGAGCAAACAGG